rnacentral:lncRNA from 1 species
CUUGGUGUUAAGGUUUAGUUUUUUUUAGAAACACUUUACUGACACUUCACUAAUAACCGAUAUCCUUUACUGAUAUUGACUGAAGUACUGCUGCCAUAUUGCAGCCAACUCAUCCAAAUCUGAUAAUUUGAUGUCCUACAUUAAGAACAAAUUAAGUUCAGCCAUUAUCAUUUAAUUAGAACAACAUGAGAUAAGGCUUCCGAUCCAUUGGAUUAAGUGACAGCUCCACUUCUGGGAACUGCACCUUCGUAGUGAUUUAUCGAAUUUCAAAUGCAUUGAGCUAAGAACUAGAUCCAUUAGUCCAAGGCUCUCCAACCCUGUUCCUGGAGAGCUACCCUCCUGUAGGUUCACACUCCAACCCUGUUCCUGGAGAGCUACCCUCCUGUAGGUUUUCACUCCAACCCUGUUCCUGGAGAGCUAACCUCCUGUAGGUUCACACUCCAACCCUGUUCCUGGAGAGCUACCCUCCUGUAGGUUCACACUCCAACCCUGUUCCUGGAGAGCUACCCUCCUGUAGGUUCACACUCCAACCCUGUUCCUGGAGAGCUACCCUCCUGUAGGUUUUCACUCCAACCCUGUUCCUGGAGAGCUACCCUCCUGUAGGUUUUCACUCCAACCCUGUUCCUGGAGAGCUACCCUCCUGUAGGUUUUCAAUCCAACCUUAGUUGUAACUAACCUCAUUAACUUAUUAAGGAGGUAAUUAUUCCUACGUACAAAAUUAAUGAACGUGUUAAAUUAUUAUGUGACGUGGAGUCAUAUUCAGGUCCUGAUUGGUAAAGAAGCUUAUUUGACGUGUCAACUAGUGUUAUUUGAAGUGUAUCUUUUUGACACGCAAAGACCCAGACGGUUUUCCAUACUGAAUAGACAAGUGUAGUGUUUGUAACGCAAGAUUGAGGAGAGUCUGUCUUGUUAGAGAUCACUUUCAUUUUGGGAGAUUUCAAAAUAUGACCUUUUCAUUCAAGACAGGAUAAAUAUAUUGUUUCAGGUGUUAAUAAAACAUGUUUUGUUUAGUAACUUUUUUUCUCAACAUGUUUCUCUAACUUUAUAGCAACUGCAGAGCAACUAAUGUUAGCUAGCUAAAAGCUAGGUUGAAGACACAACUGUAGCUAGUGACCACCACAAUGAACUUAAACGGGAGGCAACAGUCAUAUAAUUGGCUUAGCAUUCAAUGUGUAAUAAUUAACAUUACCACUUAUAGUAAUGGGUAAAUGUUUACAAGUUGCUAGCGAUCCCAUAAAGCCAUCGCUGAAACCGACAUAUUUUCAUCUUCUGUGGUUUGGUAACUUCCUGUUCUUCGACGGGCUGGACUGAAGACGAUGCAAAGUUUGGAAGAUUUCAAAGUAUUCGGAGUCCGUCUCGGAAUAGAACCUUCAACCGCAAGGGGCCGUUGCGAUUCCACACCCUAUCUGGGAACCAUAAAUUACAUUGAUUUUUGGAAUAGGGGUUUGCUCCGUCCACUCCACUCAUCGACCUGGUAUUGCAGUACCUCUAGGCAGGGGCGCAACUUUCACUGUG